CUGUGUGCUGCCGGCUGGCUCUCGGGCUCCACUGACUGUCCAGUUGCUUGCCUUCAUAUUUCAUGAGCAUGAUCUUCUUCCUUUGAGUUGAAGGUAGUUACUGUGCAGACUGUCCUUCAGUGGGGACUAUUUGCUGUUCCGUCUGGUUUAGAUUCGCCAUAUGCUCCCUGCAGGAGAAACAGCACAGAGGAGAUUCUGUGCUCAUCUCGGUGUGGCUCUGAUGGUGUUAGUAAAGGCUGGCCGCAAACUCUACGCAGCCCUGACUGGCCUCACAGCGAUCCUCCUGCCUCAGCCUCUGGAGUCAAAAUGCUCCCUCCCAGCUCAGACCAUUGAUGAUUCCUGAGAGAAUCAAGCAAAGGGUGGGUACUCUUCACCCUGUAACUAUCCUGACAGAGAGGAGCUUGACAUUGACACUGGAAUGGAGAAUGAACACAGCUUUUAUUGGGAUUUACUCUCAUGUUGGACAUGAUUUUAACUGGCUUGAAUGACAAGAGUCUUCACUAGCUGGCAAUCGGAAG